ACAAAAACAUGGCCUUUUGGGUGGAAUUUAAGGUCGGGCCUGCCCACUGACGUAGUUGAAGGGCCGCGGUAUUUUGACCGUGCAAAGGUAGCAUAAUCAUUAGUCUUUUAAUUGAAGGCUGGAAUGAAUGGUUUGACGAAAUAUUAACUGUCUCUAUAUAAUAAAUGGAAUUUAACUUUUGAGUCAAAAGGCUUAAAUGAAUAUAAAAGACGAGAAGACCCUAUAGAUCUUUAUAUAGUUAAGUAAUUGUUUUAUUUAGUUGUUUUGUUUUCAAUUAUUUUGCUGUAUUUUGUUGGGGUGACAUAAAGAUAAAAAUAACUCUUUAUAAUGGGAACAUUGAUUUAUGAGUGAUUGAUCCGUUAUUAACGAUUAUAAGAUAAAGUUACCUUAGGGAUAACAGCGUAAUUUUUUUUGAGAGUUCUUAUCGACAAGAAAGAUUGCGACCUCGAUGUUGGAUUAAGGAAUAUGAUUAGGUGUAGCAGUUUAAUUAAUAAGUCUGUUCGACUUUUAAAUCCUUACGUCAUCUGA
rnacentral:rRNA from 1 species